rnacentral:lncRNA from 1 species
UCGGUUUCAAAAUGGGUUACAAGGGAUAAUGUCAGGUGUAAGGUAGGCUGAACAAAGAAAAAAAUUGGUUUAAAGUGUGGCGUUGGGAUGGAUAAAUAAUGGUAGGAAGGGAUACUUGAUGAUCGGAGUAAUAAGAGAUGAAAAUAAAACUCGCAAGACUUUUCACUUCUUUUUUUUCUUUUUUUGUACUCUUUUUUUUUUGCUCACUUCUUUUUUUCUUUUCUUUUUUUUGAAUUUUUUUUUGAAUUUUGAUUUUUUUUGUGAUACUCCAAUACAAUAGUAAGGUAAAUACAAGGAAGGAAAAAAAUUAAAUUACAACUCGAAAUUUUUUUUUGAUUUUUUUUCACGUUCCGAACCUACUUGCGGCCUUGUUACGAACGUCGGUGCUCCUUGUU